rnacentral:misc_RNA from 1 species
UGGAGGUGAUUUAAAUG